rnacentral:lncRNA from 1 species
GAGGAAGUAAUCCCGGGAGGAAGGAAGCUGAAUGAAUGUGCCUCUCCAAAAAAAAAAAAAAAAAAAAAAAGAACAGAAUUCCUGAUGAAGACCAGGUUUGGUGUAGUCAAAACUGAGUCUCUCUCCCAGCUAUCAUGGAAGUGAAGGAGAAGAGUGGCAAAGGAGACAGGUUGGAUUGGGAAGAUACAUGAGAAUGUACACAGUAGCAGGAGAAAUUUAAUAAGUGCUGGAAUUGUUUGGAUUUAUGAGGUACUCUCAAAUAUGCACCUCUAUUAUAAUAUGUAUCUGACGUGUAUUUCCAAAUAACUUCAAUAGUAAUACUAUGAUGUAAUAUUUACUAAUUUCCAUGAUAGAAGCAUGGUUCUAAGCCUAAUCCUCUCUGGUCCUGCCAUAUCCUUGGGGUUGGGAAGAUUCAGAAGUACAGUAUCCCUAGACACAUCAAAGGAUUUCCUUUGUUUAAUCAAUAUCAUCUAUUACACUUUGGGUAUGAAAGUUCAAGUCAGUGACAGAUGAACGUAGGCAAUAGAUUAAGCAAUCCUGGAGUGCUGUGAAUACUGGUGGGGUCCUGGAACACCGUGGAUGUCAUCAAUAGGUCGUAGAACCCUGCUGAGGCCUUAGUGAUAACUGGUAUCAUACCAACCAGGGUAUCAUACUGAGCCUUACAAAGGACAGUGAUCUAGUGAACAGAUAGUGUCUUAUUUGCUUUUGGCGGGGGUGGGGUGGGGGGAGGGUAAUACAUUUAAUUUCUUAUCUUUACUAAUAAUUCUCUGAGAACAGUCUCAGACUCUUACUUGAUAUCAGCAAUUCUGCGAAGAGUUGAACCAUGAAACAUAAAGAGAAGAAAAAACACCAGCAGAAGAAACCCUUAAAACAACCUGUGAAAAAGUCAAGGGGUACAAGAGGAAAGUUGGAUUUACAAGAUGUUCUGCAGGGUAGAGCCAAGGUACUGGCCCAUACUCAAGGCCACAAAGUGGCGGACAGUUCUUCCUCACCCUCAGAGGACUUCUCUUAUAAAGACAAAUUCUUGGAUGCAGGUCCUGGAUCCUGCAAGAGGCUUUUAAAUCAAGAUUUGAUGGAGAAGGAGAAUUUCUCCUCCAUGGCACAUUCUCAUUUACCUUCCUCCUUGGCCAAUAACCCCCUAGAGUCUGCAACAUCUACUGAAAAGAAAAGAGUCCUGAAUGUCUACUAUCAGCCUGUCCCAAUGAAAAGGGGUACGGCUUCCUUGGGGGAUACAGAAGAUGAUUUGGAGCCCCCCACAAAGAUGACAAGAAUAGCAAGAAUGACCUUUCCUGAGAAGAUCCCUUCAAAAGCCAGCCUCUCUUCUGUGUGCCUAAGAGAUGUCCUAACUGACAGUGAAAAUGGCCUGCCCGGGGAAGGGCAAGAGGAAAGGGAAGAGGCUGAGAAUCUGGCCCGGGAUUCGGUGCUGGAGGACCUGUACAGUGGCUUCAGGUGCAUGGGCUGCGACCAGGUCUUCCCCAAUAUGCGGAUGCUUAAGAAACACCUGGAGGAUGGGGUUGAGGGUGGUGCUUCAUGCCUUAGUCUUGCAUUUGCCAAACUAAGGAACAAAAUGAAGCAAAGCAAGAGAAUCACAGAGGGGGAGGAUGGGAAUAUGACAACAUCUGGAGGUGAUAUGGAGACACUUGUGAUGUUCUUGUUACUUGUGGCUUUUUGUUUUUUCUUUUACUAUUAUAAUAAAUAGAAAUUAAAUCAUAUGUUUCCGGAAGUAAUAAAUUAGAGACAAUAACACAAGAGGACACCAGAAAACUUUUCCAUCCACAAAAUAGCAGAAAAAAUAAGCAUCUUCACAAGCUAAGCCUUUGGUUAGUUUUUUUCUUUCCAUCUCUGUUCUCUCACCCACAUCAGCCUGCUGUUUCCAGAAUGGGUCUCAAGGUUUGUAUUUACCUUUGGUUUAUUAUUUAUUUUCAUUAGUACAUGUUGGUAGUGCAUAAAGUUUACAGACCUGGGGAGCAAUUGGUACAGGUACGUAACACAUCUUACACUUCCUUUUUAUCAUCCCCUUUCCCUCUCCUCCCACCCCACCCUCUCCGUCUUUUGAUCUUUUCCCUGUUUAGAAAGAUUUAUCCCUCUUCUUCCUAUCAUCUAUCUUUAUUUUGCUCUUUAUUUAUACUUUGGGUUUCUCAUACAAAAAAAAAAUCCAUGUGAUAUGUAAGCUUAUGUGUCUGAUUUAUCUCACUGAACAUUAUGGUCUCAAGAUGCUUUAAUUUUUUUUUUACAAAUGACUCAAGUUUAUCAUUCCUUAUGGUAGAGUAGUACUCAAUUGUGUUUAAAAACCACAUUUAAUUUAUCUAUUCUUCUGUUGAUGGACAUAUGGGCUACUUCCAAUGUUUAGCUAUUAUGAAUUGUGUUGCUGUAUACAUGGGUCUGCAUGGGUCACUGUAAUGUCUUUGACUCUUUGCGAAGACAUCUAGAAGGGGAAUAGCUGGAUCAAGUAGAAUUUCUAGUUUCAGUUUUGUGAGGAAUCUCCAUACUAGUUUUCAGCCCACUUGUCUCUGCUGGAUAUAGGCCACAGGCCAGGGGUUCAUGUGGGCUGUUAGAUUCAAUGUCCUUUGUCAUAGAAAAAGAUUCCCUUCUUUCAACUGUUUUUUCCAUUACUAGGAUGUGUUGUCCAUUCAGAAGCACAGCUAGUACUUAGAGUAGCACUAGUUUGCUUAGGAUGAAUACAAGCUUUUGUAAAUGCCUACCGUCCUUUGCAUGUAUUCACCCAAUACUAUUUCUCAGUAUUCUCCCAGGUUGGCAGAAAUUACAUGACUUUUGCAGUAGCCUAAAAAAUGG